ensembl:lncRNA
GGACUGAAUGGCAGUCCUUUUUGUUUCCUCUCUUGGAACGCUAACAGAAGAAAGGUAAAGAAAAUGGUACAGAGAAUAAAUAAAUAAAUGGAACACUUCUGAAUCCAAGGCAACAAUUUAGUGAUUAAUAAAACAUAUUUAUCUCAUGUAUUUGUCUUAUCAUAUCAAUAACAUCAAUAACAUCAGCACCUAACUGGAACCAAAAACAAAUGCUAACUCCCUGCUAUACCUUGAAGUUGAUCCUGAGUUUGGUCAUUGAAAAGCAAAGGAAGCUCCUUCUUGCUUUCUGCUCAGCCCCCCUCUCUGUCUCAGCCUGGUCUGAUGGGUUUGUUGCAGCAGAAGCUGGUCUUGACGCCUCCUUGCAUCCCUGUACCAGCUGCUGGGUCAAGGACUUUACCAGGACUCUGUCAAAUGCAGGGUCCUGGGAGGAAAUAGCUGCUUGCAGGGUGUUAUAAGAGCCAAACUCCUCCAUGAGGUUUUUAUGUACACCUCUGAACACCCUUUGGAUGUUCAGGUUCUGGGAAUAUGCCUGUGUCCUGGAGAAUCUAGAUGCAGCACAGAACUCAGACAGGACUUGUCUGAUGAGUUGCUGAGAUGUUGCUGUCACGUCUGCUGCCUGUUGGGAGGGUCCAUCUAGGGUUGAGGGUCUGAUCUCCGAUAGCAACCUUAUCACCAGUAUGGCGACCAAACAGAUGACAUCAUCUUUGCUGGAGUCCAUCAAGUACUGCAGUGGGAAUGCAGAGGCACUGCUGAUGUCCGGGGUGAUUAAGAGCUCCCUCAGAUGGCCAGAGCUACUGGGGAUACACUCCUCCUUCUCUUCAAUGUCAAUCCCAUCUCCCUUUGGUACCAAAGAGGUUCCCUUGCUGGUGAAAGACGGAGUGGAGGAUCGAAAAGAGGCUUUAGCACUCGGUGGUCGACUGCUGUCAGUCAUUGGACUGUUACGAUGCAGGGGUUCAUCUGUGUGUGCCAUCUACAAGUCAGAGUUAUCAAAAGUGGAGAGUAAAUCCUUGGCCGUUGUCAGUUCAUCUGAUGAGUCCCUAGAGGCUUGUUGGUUUGUUGAUAGUGUCCUAUCAAAGCUCGAUGACUAUACUAUUUCCCAGUCACCCUCACCCAAUGAAGACUUGAGCGUGAGUACUCAAUAUUCUCAACUGAGCUCGGAAGAGAGUGUCAGAAUCACAGAGUCCUCUCCUAGUCUGAUUCAGAGCAUUAAGAAGCUCUCUAGCAAUGACUUCCAGACUCAGGCAGAAGAGGCAGUGAGUAAAGUGCUGAUGAGAUCCAGUCAUUCCUUUAUCACACAGAUCAGCCAUACUGGUCUUCAGAAAAGUCUGCAGGCUGGCUUAUCAUCUAGCUCACCAUCAGAGAUCCAUGUCCUUUCAGAAUCCAUGUCCUCCAUGUCCUCUGAGAAUACAGCUUCUGGAUUAGUGGAAACCUUUGUCAAAGGAAUGGCGACUAUUUUCCAGAAAAAUGAGUCCACUGACACUGUGCUACUGGAAAGAAGUGGGAGAGUUUCGCAGUGCUCCCACGGGGACUCCCAACUGGAUGAUACUGAAUUGAGUGUUAAAAUAUCAGAGGAGAAGCU